rnacentral:tRNA from 1 species
GCCCCUGUAGCUCAAUGGAUAGAGCACCAGACUUCUAAUCUGAUGGUUGUGGGUUCGAUUCCCCCCAGGGGCA